GGAAGUGGAUAGGAUCUGGUGGUCCUUGCGGUCUUCAAAACCGUGGGGAGGCAGUUAUGCUGUCUCCGGUGAGUUCGAUUCUCACCCCUUCCGC
rnacentral:tRNA from 1 species